CACCGGUGCUGUGCCAGGCUGGAGCUGAGACAGAAGCACUUCCCGCAGUCAGGGCAGCGGAAGCGGGUCUCGCCGGCAUGGGGGCGCUGGUGCUCGAUCAGGUUGGAGCUCUGGCCGAAGGCAGCACACAGCAGGAUUCCCUGACUGGCCCGUGAUCUCCCGGAUGGAGCCAGGGGAAGAGCCGAGGGUCCCAGAUCUCCAGGGCUCCCAGGAAAGGGAGAUCCCCAGAGGUGCCCACCCAGGUGAAGAAUAAGCAGCACUGUCUCGGAGUGAAGGGGAAAGCUGGGGUCCCAGCCAAGCCACCGGGAGCCCCCCAGGUCUGUCACAUCUCAUUCAGUCUCAUCCCCAGCAGGUCCCUGUCCUCAUGGCAGGUGUCACUCCUGGAUCUCCCAGUUCUACGCUGUUGGGUCUGAUGGCCUCUGCUCCUCUGUCCUUGAAAUUAUUGUGCAGUGACACUUUUAUCAACAGAGGACGGAGGGAUGUGUCUGCAGCCUUAACAAAGUUCUGUCAGAUAUUUAUUUUUCAGGACCACGGUCUUAGCUGGGGUAAAUCCACUGUAACAACACACAUGGAUCAUGGGUCACGAACUCUAGCACCUUUGGAGCUCACAGCCUGAGAUAGUAGAUACUGUUUUCACCUCUCAGCUCACCACCUGAGCAAAAACAGGUUAGCUCACAGGUUCAUAAACCUUUUACUUCACCCAGCCACUAGAGGGUGAUAAAGACCUGCACUGUUUAGUCAUGGUGGAUGACACCCACGGCAGAUGUUCUUCUAUCCCUUAAUUUCAUCUUUAGGCUGCACUGCGAAUGGAAGGUCUGAAGGUGAAAUCAAUGGACAGACGUGAGCUUCUCAUUACAGUUGAUUGGGAAUUGUUUUGACAUUCUCCCCCCCCC